CCCGACCAAUCCUUAGGGUAAGGCAACUUUUGCUGUGUUUUCACUUUAGUUUUGUUUGACUGAUUAUUAUUUUCCAAAAAUGAAGCCCAAGGAACUUGAAGCCCUAUGCUACAUUGCCAAAAAAGAAGAAGUCAUCAGGUGGCAUUGCUGCUUCUAAGUGGGGUGAACCUGAAGCUAUCCUCAUCCAUCCGAUUGUUGGUUCAUCUUAGACGCAGAUGCAGGGUUUGACUCUGAGGAAGGAGGCUUCUUUUGGGGCCC
rnacentral:lncRNA from 1 species